rnacentral:rRNA from 1 species
CAGAGACCUCAAGCGUUAUCCGGAAUCAUUGGGCGUAAAGCGUACCGAUAGGUGGUUUUGGUAGUUUUGGGUAAAAGCCAGAAGCUCAACUUCUGCGUUUGCUCAAAAUACUCCAAGACUAGAGGGACAAAGAGGUUGCUGGAACGAACGGUGUAGUAGUGAAAUGCGUUGAUAUCGUUCGGAACACCGAAAGCGAAGGCAGGCAACUGGGUGUCACCUGACACUGCUAGGACGAAAGCGUGGGGAGCGAAUGGGAUUAGAUACCCCAGUAGUCCACGCUGUAAACGAUGAGUGCCAGGUAUUUGCGAGUAUCGACCCUCGUAUGUACCGUAGCUAACGCGUUAAGCACUCCGCCUGGGGAGUACGGCCGCAAGGCUA